rnacentral:rRNA from 1 species
AAUAUUGGACAAUGGGCGCAAGCCUGAUCCAGCCAUGCCGCGUGAGUGAUGAAGGCCCUAGUGGUGUAAAGCUCUUUCACCGGGUAAGAUAAUUACGGUAACCGGAGAAGAAGCGUCGGCUAACUUCGUGCCAGCAGCCGCGGUAAUACGAAGGGGGCUAGCGUUGUUCGGAAUUACUGGGCGUAAAGCGCACGUAGGCGGAUCGGUCAGUUAGGGGUGAAAUCCCGGGGCUCAACCCCGGAACUGCCUUUAAUACUGCCGGUCUAGAGUCCGAGAGAGGUGAGUGGAAUUCCGAGUGUAGAGGUGAAAUUCGUAGAUAUUCGGAGGAACACCAGUGGCGAAGGCGGCUCACUGGCUCGGUACUGACGCUGAGGUGCGAAAGCGUGGGGAGCAAACA